UUCAUCUAUAUGAACUUAAUGAACAGAAUUUGGAAACCAGGGAACUUGAAAAUGCAGAAUUACGUACAUAGAAGGCAGUGACGGUGGCGACAGAGUCACCAGGAAUGAGUUUGAUCUUCA